UUACCAACGGAUGCGGAGUUACUUACUUC
rnacentral:sRNA from 1 species